rnacentral:rRNA from 1 species
GUAGGGAAUAUUGGGCAAUGGUCGGAAGACUGACCCAGCCAUGCCGCGUGCAGGAAGACGGCCCUCUGGGUUGUAAACUGCUUUUAUCUGGGAAGAAAAAGGCCAUGCGUGGCAAAUUGCCGGUACCAGAUGAAUAAGCACCGGCUAACUCCGUGCCAGCAGCCGCGGUAAUACGGAGGGUGCGAGCGUUGUCCGGAUUUAUUGGGUUUAAAGGGUGCGUAUGCGGCUGAUUAAGUCAGCGGUGAAAGACUUCGGCUUAACCGGAGCAGUGCCGUUGAUACUGGUUGGCUUGAGUGUCGGAGGGGUACAUGGAAUUGAUGGUGUAGCGGUGAAAUGCAUAGAUACCAUCAGGAACACCGAUAGCGAAGGCAUUGUACUGGCCGACAACUGACGCUGAUGCACGAAAGUGUGGGGAUCGAACAGGAUUAGAUACCCCAGUAGUCC